rnacentral:rRNA from 1 species
AUAACGGUCCUAAGGUAGCGAAAUUCCUUGUCGGGUAAGUUCCGACCUGCACGAAAGGCGCAACGAAUUGGGCGCUGUCUCGACCAUGGACCCGGUGAAAUUCCACUAGUCGUGAAGAUGCGACUUACCCGCGGAAGGACGGAAAGACCCCGUGAACCUUCACUGCAGCUUGGCAUUGGCCGCUGGCCCGUCGCGUAGAGGAUAGGCGGGAGGCUUCGAAGCCCGGGCGCCAGCCCGGGUGGAGCCGACCUUGGAAUACCGCCCUCGGCGCGCCGGCGUCCUAACCCCAUGCCGUCAUCCGGAUGGGGGACCGUGCCAGGUGGGUAGUUUGACUGGGGCGGUCGCCUCCUAAAGGGUAACGGAGGCGCGCGAAGGUCCGCUCGGGACGGUCGGCAACCGUCCUCUUGAGUGCAAGAGCAUAAGCGGGCUUGACUGCGAGGCCUACAAGCCGAGCAGGUGCGAAAGCAGGCUCUAGUGAUCCGGCGGCCCCGCGUGGGUGGGCCGUCGCUCAACGGAUAAAAGGUACUCCGGGGAUAACAGGCUGAUCUUGCCCAAGAGUCCACAUCGACGGCAAGGUUUGGCACCUCGAUGUCGGCUCAUCGCAUCCUGGGGCUGAAGUCGGUCCCAAGGGUUGGGCUGUUCGCCCAUUAAAGCGGUACGCGAGCUGGGUUCAGAACGUCGUGAGACAGUUCGGUCCCUAUCCUCCGCGGGCGCAGGAGAAUCGAGGGAGGCUGCCCCUAGUACGAGAGGACCGGGGUGGACGCACCUCUGGUGAACCGGUUGUCGACCAACGGCACGGCCGGGUAGCCACGUGCGGCGCGGAUAACCGCUGAAGGCAUCUAAGCGGGAAGCCGUUCCCGAGAUCAGUUCUCCUUUCGGUAAGGGCCCAGGUAGACUACCUGGUCGAUAGGCCGCAGGUGCAAGCACGGCGACGUGCUCAGCCGAGCGGUACUAAUAGCCCGAGCUCUUACCCG